rnacentral:rRNA from 2 species
AAACUUUCAACAACGGAUCUCUUGGUUCUGGCAUCGAUGAAGAACGCAGCGAAAUGCGAUAAGUAAUGUGAAUUGCAGAAUUCAGUGAAUCAUCGAAUCUUUGAACGCACAUUGCGCCCCUCGGAAUUCCGGGGGGCAUGCCUGUUCGAGCGUCAUUGC